rnacentral:rRNA from 1 species
AUUGAACGCUGGCGGCAGGCUUAACACAUGCAAGUCGAACGAGUGGCGGACGGGUGAGUAAUGUAUGGGAAUCUGGCUGAUAGCGGGGGAUAACUACGGGAAACAGUAGCUAAUACCGCAUACCAUCGGAUGAGCCCAAAUGGGAUUAGGUAGUUGGUGGGGUAAAGGCUCACCAAGCCGACGAUCACUAGCUGGUCUGAGAGGAAGACAAGCCACACUGGGACUGAGACACGGCCCAGACUCCUAAGGGAGGCAGCAGUGGGGAAUAUUGCACAAGGGGGGAAACCCUGACGCAGCCAUGCCGCGUGUAUGAAGAAGGCCUUCGGGUUGUAAAGUUCUUUCGGCAGAGAGGCGUUAACUACAGAAGAAGCACCGGCUAACUCCGUGCCAGCAGCCGCGGUAAUAC